GGCGACCGCUCAAAACUCGGCGCAGCUGUGCAAAGCGAAAUCGUCUUCACCACCAACCACUACAGGACGAAGGCCUCUCCCAAUGGUCUCCAACCCACCCUGUCCUGCCAUCUACCUUGGAUACUGUGAACUACC